rnacentral:rRNA from 1 species
UACGUAGGGUGCAAGCGUUAAUCGGAAUUAUUGGGCGUAAAGGGUGCGCAGGCGGUUAUAUAAGUCAGAUGUGAAAUCCCUGGGCUUAACCUAGGAAUUGCGUUUGAAACUAUAUAACUAGAGUGUGACAGAGGGGAGUGGAAUUCCAUGUGUAGCAGUGAAAUGCGUAGAGAUGUGGAAGAACACCGAUGGCGAAGGCAGCUCCCUGGGUUAACACUGACGCUCAGGCACGAAAGCGUGGGGAGCAAAC